rnacentral:hammerhead_ribozyme from 1 species
GCACUGCUGACGAGUCCCAUACUAGGACGAAACGGUCGUUCAGUGC